GGUACUCUCAGAGGCUUCGAUGUCUAUGUAAACAUGGUCCUCGAAGAUGUCACUGAAUAUGAAAUCACAGCUGAAGGGCGGCGAAUUACCAAGCUUGAUCAGAUACUACUAAAUGGGAACAACAUCGCCAUUCUGGUUCCUGGUGGUUCCCCUGAUCCAGAAUGAAAACGCAGUGGAUGUAUGCUGAUUUUAGUUUUCUUUCUUCAUAUAACUGAUGAUGGAUUACAUCCUCAUUUUUAUUGAGAAGUGUAGCCAUUAAGAAUUUCUUCUCUCACUGUACUUUACCCAUGGAUGUAGUUCCAGCUAUUAUGGUGUAUGGGAUGAUGUUUGUUUUAAUGAUUAGUGUAAUAUCUUCUCUUGCCUCUUCUAGACACU
rnacentral:misc_RNA from 1 species